ACAAAUGAGAGGGGAAGACCUCCAGGGAUUAACUUUGGAGGAGUUAGUGCAUCUUGAGAGAACAAUUGAUAUUGGAUUAGCUCGUGUGAUUGAAAGAAAGGGACAACAAAUAAUGGAAGAGUUAAAUAGCCUCCAACAAAAGGGAAUGCAAUUGCUGGAGGAAAA